AAUGUGAACCACAAUUAUAAACUAACUCCGAGGAAAAUGUUCCAGUUCUCAGUAUCAUAUCUACAGAGAGAUAUGGCAUAUUAUGACCAAACUUUAAUUCACUGUAAAAAUUUCAACUCCUUUGGGGAGACGAGUUCCUAGACAACAGGGCUCCACACAGGGGCAGACUGGGCAGGAGAUGCCAUGGACCCCGCCCUUGCAGAGGGGCCUGGUGGAUACUACUUUCUUUGGAGCUUGGAACAGACUCAUGGUCAGUGAAGUGAGUUCAACGGCUGAGGUGAGGCACCCGCAUGGGGGCCUCAUAACCCUAUGUACACUAUUCUCCUGCUCAUC
ensembl:ribozyme RNaseP_nuc Nuclear RNase P